GAUGAACGCUGGCGGCGUGCCUAAUACAUGCAAGUCGAGCGAAUGGAUUAAGAGCUUGCUCUUAUGAAGUUAGCGGCGGACGGGUGAGUAACACGUGGGUAACCUGCCCAUAAGACUGGGAUAACUCCGGGAAACCGGGGCUAAUACCGGAUAACAUUUUGAACCGCAUGGUUCGAAAUUGAAAGGCGGCUUCGGCUGUCACUUAUGGAUGGACCCGCGUCGCAUUAGCUAGUUGGUGAGGUAACGGCUCACCAAGGCAACGAUGCGUAGCCGAACUGAGAGGGUGAUCGGCCAACCUGGGACUGAGACACUGCCCAGACUCCUACGGGAGGCAGCAGUAGGGAAUCUUCCGCAAUGGACGAAAGUCUGACGGAGCAACGCCGCGUGAGUGAUGAAGGCUUUCGGGUCGUAAAACUCUGUUGUUAGGGAAGAACAAGUGCUAGUUGAAUAAGCUGGCACCUUGACGGUACCUAACCAGAAAGCCACGGCUAACUACGUGCCAGCCGCCGCCGUAA
rnacentral:rRNA from 1 species